rnacentral:rRNA from 1 species
UACACUCCUACGGGAGGCAGCAGUGGGGAAUUUUGGACAAUGGGCGAAAGCCUGAUCCAGCAAUGCCGCGUGUGUGAAGAAGGCCUUCGGGUUGUAAAGCACUUUUGUCCGGAAAGAAAUCCUUGGCUCUAAUACAGUCGGGGGAUGACGGUACCGGAAGAAUAAGCACCGGCUAACUACGUGCCAGCAGCCGCGGUAAUACGUAGGGUGCGAGCGUUAAUCGGAAUUACUGGGCGUAAAGCGUGCGCAGGCGGUUUGCUAAGACCGAUGUGAAAUCCCCGGGCUCAACCUGGGAACUGCAUUGGUGACUGGCAGGCUAGAGUAUGGCAGAGGGGGGUAGAAUUCCACGUGUAGCAGUGAAAUGCGUAGAGAUGUGGAGGAAUACCGAUGGCGAAGGCAGCCCCCUGGGCCAAUACUGACGCUCAUGCACGAAAGCGUGGGGAGCAAACAGGAUUAGAUACCCCGGUAGUCCCAUG